UACGUAGGGUGCGAGCGUUGUUCGGAAUCACUGGGCUUAAAGGGCGCGUAGGCGGAUUCUCAAGUCCGGGGUGAAAUCCCACAGCUCAACUGUGGAACUGCCUCGGAUACUGGGGGUCUCGAGGGUGGCAGGGGUAUGCGGAACUAUCGGUGGAGCGGUGAAAUGCGUUGAUAUCUACAGGAACUCCGGUGGCGAAAGCGGCGUGCUGGAUCUCUUCUGACGCUGAGGCUCGAAAGCUAGGGGAGCAAACGGG
rnacentral:rRNA from 1 species